UGACCACUCCGUUUACGGAGUCGAGGCCAUACGGACAGCCGGGUCAGAUGCCGA
rnacentral:sRNA from 1 species